UACGUAGGGGGCAAGCGUUGUCCGGAAUCAUUGGGCGUAAAGCGCGUGUAGGCGGCCCGGUAAGUCUGAUGUGAAAGCCCGAGGCUCAACCUCGGAACUGCAUUGGAUACUGCCGGGCUAGAGUCCGGAAGAGGAGAGUGGAAUUCCUGGUGUAGCGGUGGAAUGCGCAGAUAUCAGGAAGAACACCAAUGGCGAAGGCAGCUCUCUGGUACGUGACUGACGCUGAGACGCGAAAGCGUGGGUAGCGAACAGG
rnacentral:misc_RNA from 1 species